rnacentral:rRNA from 1 species
UACGUAGGGGGCAAGCGUUGUCCGGAAUCAUUGGGCGUAAAGCGCGCGUAGGCGGCCCGGUAAGUCCGUUGUGAAAGUCGAAGGCUCAACCUUCGAAAGCCGAUGGAUACUGCCGGGCUAGAGUACGGAAGAGGCGAGUGGAAUUCCUGGUGUAGCGGUGGAAUGCGCAGAUAUCAGGAGGAACACCAAUAGCGAAGGCAGCUCGCUGGGACGUUACUGACGCUGAGGCGCGAAAGCGUGGGGAGCGAACAGG